rnacentral:lncRNA from 1 species
UUUUUUUUAAAUAACUGUAAAUAUAAUAAUAAAUAACGUUUUUUUAAAUAAGCGUUAGUUAUAAUUAUUUAUUUUUAUUUUUUUAAUUUAUAAUUUAAAAUAGAUCAAAUAGAUAGCAUUUUAAAGAAUAAGCACUGUCUAUUUUAAAAUUUUUUAAAACAGAUUUUCCUUCCCAGUUUCGCUAUUCCACGUUGUCUUGCUCAUUCCUUCGUUCAUUGUGCCCUUUUCAUCACCUAUCACCUGUGCUUGAGGCAAGCUGCUUCGUUUGUCUACUGGGUUCCGGAAUCAAGUUCUCUCCUUCUCUUCUCUGUUUCGUUUCUCCUUUGCCCUUUUUCAUGAAAAUGCGUUUUUCAGAUUGCGUCAUACCUUCAAAACGCGUUUUAAUCGUGCUCACUAACCGUUUUUGGACAUCGUGCUCAUGUGAGAGAUCUUCGUUCAGCCAGUAAGUUCUCUCGUGUUCUUCUCCCAAACUCUCUGUCCGAUAUGUCUCCAACUAUUGCAAGUUGUAAGAUGGGGAAGGUUGUUGAUGCCGGUACUCAUUUGUCAAAACCUUGUAUGUUGUAUUCUCAUUUUUGCAUUGUUUUCUUUACAGUUUCUAAUAUUUGAUUUUGUAUUCAGAUUCCCGUUCAAUGCAGUCUGUAGAGAAAGACUAUGUACUUGUCUAUUCCCAUUUUGCAUCAUUGGCGUCCCCUCUGAUUCGUGCUGGCAGCUUAGAAGCCAUUGCUGGACCUUCCAAACCCUAACAGAGUCACACGUGAUGCUACACAUCUUCCUUGCUUAUUUUGUUUAAUUUUAUAAUCUAUCUUUUUACAUUGUUUUUUUUUCUGCUUUGAUUCAUUCCUAGGUGUUUCCUUGAUAUUCAUUAUAUUCUCUAAUCAUGACUCAUUCGAGUUCUGAUUUUCUCUUCUAAAUUCAAUCGUUGCGAUAAUGUUUUAGGGGAAUGUUGGCAUUUUGGGAUGAGUAAUUAACCUUGGCAUUCAAUUUCACAUGUGAGUUUAUUGUCUUUUAGCUAUUAUUUUAUUAUAGUUUCGGGGAAUUCUAUAAUGCUUUAUCUUUCGUUACUAUUUAUUGUGUCAACACGAUGCUUGUCUUGACAUAUGAGUGUGCAUUGCUUGUUUGAUUGAACGAUUAGGUAACCCUGACAGGACAAGCCUGCAUCGUCUACACCAACUACGUCAUCCUCAAGUUUCAGUGCUAGUAGUGGGGUAUAGUCUGCGGCAGCUAGAUUAUUGGGAGGAAGCAACGGAAGCCGAGCACUUAGUUUUUUUGGAGGCAACGGUAGUAGCAAGAAUAAUGGAGGGAACAGUAGGAUUGGUUCCAUUGGAGCCUCCAGUACAAGUAGUUCAAUGGCUAAUCCAAAUUUUGAUGGGAAAGGCACUUACCUGAUAUUCAAUGUCGGUGAGGCAAUUUUCAUCAGCAAUUUGAAUUCUCAAAACAAGGUAUAUUAUUAUUCGGACUUUGGUUGUUUCUAAGAAUUUUGGAUUCACUUCAUGAGUUUUUUUUAGUUUGAAUGUGCAUAAUUUUUUAGUUUCAAGGUCUUGGUGAAUGGUGAAUGGUGAUCCUGAACAUGGUGAUUUUUUUGUUAUGUGAAUGAAGGUUUGAUACAACCUUGAUCCCAAGGCUCAGAUACCAAGCCAUUUAAUGUGGCUGGAAGCAUAGUUGUUAAACUAUAGUGUCAACUCAUAAACUUGUUAACUAGCGCACUCCUGUAAAUUGGGUCUGAGUUGAUUGUAAAGUAAUUUCUUGGUGAACUUAGAGGUGAUAUCGCGUAAAAUUACAAGUUCAUAUACAAGUUUGUAGGUUGACCUCCACAUCCAUUUUAUAAUGGUGCUGCACCAUGUAAUUUCUCCAAGUAGUAUUGCAUGUUAUGUUUCCCUUGGCUCAUUUCGCACCCCACUUCUUGAUUAUCCCUUACUAUUUGUGAUUAUUGUUACUGCUGCUUAGUUGUUCUUCUGCUACUAGAUAUUUUUCUGCCAUUUUUGGUAGUUGCAUCAUUACUGAUGCUGCUAGUUGUUUCAUUGUUGCUUGAUCUGUGAGAAAAGUGCAUCACAGAAAAUGACAACUGUUGGACGAGAUGGUAUCCAAUUUUAUAUGCAAAGUAGUGAGCUCUGUGACUCCUAUUAGGCAUGUGUGCACUUUAUCUCAUGAUUGUUCUGUUUCCUAUCACCUAUCAAUUUGUUUGCUCAUUGAAUUUAAAUUUUUGUUUAAUGUUGUUACUUCUUGUUUUUCUUCUUCAGUUUCAUUUAAGUACCCUUUUUACAUGAGUAGACUUUUGUUACUGUAGUGAUCAAAACGAAUCUCCUUCUUUCGAGUAUCCAAAUAUAUGAAAACCAAAAUGUCUAUCAACGUGAGAGAUUAACUAAUGCUUUAACUAUUUAAUAGACAUGCAUAGGAAUGUAGUGUUGACUCUGUCAACCUGACUAUCUGAAAUGCAAUAUUUUGCAUUGGUAACAUAAUCUCCCAAUUUUACACACUUCUUGUUAAGAGCUUAUAAUGUACAUGUAUUUGCUUAUUGGAUUUAUGUUAGAAGUCUAAAAUAACAUUAUAUAUAAGCUACGAGGUUUAGUCUAGUUUUACUUGUGACAUUACUAUUUUUUAGAGUGUCUUAACAACAUAUUCCACUUUCAUUAGUUAUAAUUUUUAUUUUUUUUUAUAUCAAUGGUUUGUAUCAAUCUAGUUUAUGUCAACAAUAUCGGAGUUUAUUUUGGCAGACUUUCUUGCUUGUGCUACUGUUAAUAUUUUCAUUCAGCAGAAAACCACCAUUCUGCCAUGUGUAGAGUUAGAGUUAUUUGUUUAUGUGAUGUCCAAUAAUGUUUAUUGGUUGAUAAACUGACUAUAUUAUUUGGGGUAUAAUGUAUGUACUUAUUUUUUUAUUUCUUUUCUCCCCUAUAAAAUUUUUGUAUUACUGGCCAAUUUUUAUUCCUCAGGCAUGCCUCAAUGCAACCAGAUCCUCAUUGAAAGAAAAAUGGGUUAAGAGGGAGGCUGUUGUUGUGAUCCUGAGGGAGGCACUCAUGAAAGGCAAAUGGCUAUAGUAAUUUAUAAGGUAAUUUGAGGUUAUACUGCACAGAACAUUCUUUAGAAAAAAUAUAUUAAAUAAGCAUAAUGAACAAGUAAAAGGCGUUGUUGCAUUAUUGUUUAUCUCGUGAGUCCAUAAGUAUAAUAUUUUAUGAUACUUCAAUAAGCAUGAGUUAUUCAUGCGCUGUGUUACGUCACAUUAUAUUAUUACAUCUUAUAUAUAAUGAUUUUGAUCAACAGAAAUAAUUUUAUUUAUUAGAACUAAAGUUUAAGGCAGUGGAUGUUUAGCAACUUCAUAUUAUGUUAAUGUGUGUUGUGCUAAUUUUUAUUAUUGAAACAAUAAAAAUUGUUUAUGCCUAAAUUGAAGUAGAAGCUUAGACGAAAAACACUUAUUUUUAACUGAUCAUUCUUUUUAGUGUUUAGAUUCUCUAUAUUUUAUCUUUCCUAUUACGAGAAUCCAUAUUUUUUUAAUGUAAUAACAAUCGAGUUAUUAAUGUAUAACAUUUUUUACUCAACUUUCCAGCAACUACCAAGAUCAAACAUAAUGAUUUAAUGAUUCCUCGCCCUCGUAUGAAUAUGUUGAUUGCACAUGCCCAUAACCAUUACAUGUGACAAUUAUUUUAUCUUGUCUUAACCAUUACAUGUGACAAUUAUUUUAUCUUGUCUUAAGGGAACUAUCACAUACUCUGAAAGAGAGACAAUUCCAACAUGUCUAUAUUAUCUUCAUUGUUAUAAUUAAUUUGUAGUAAAAUAUUAAUUGACUAAUUUUAUAUUUUUUUUUGUUGUAGUAUUUUUCUAAGUGAAGAUCUCAACAAUAUCGUGGAAAUCAAAUCAUUGAAGUUAGAAAAGGUUGGUGUUUAUAUGUCAUUAGUACAUGCUUAUAAGUUAUGUUACAGUGAUGUACAUGCUUAAAGGUACAUAUAGGUUAUAUAUAUAUAUAUAUAUAUAUAUAUAUAUAUAUAUAUAUAUAUAUUAUGAUUGUAUAUAUUGUCUUGUAAAACAAUGUAUGUCAUUACACAUAUUAGACGACUUAACAAUUAUAUUUUGAAAUAUUAUUGUACAAAUAAUUUUUAUUCAUACAAUUAAGUAAUGAACAUUUUUUUUGAGACUUUUGUCUUUGUCAUAUUUUUCUUGAUAUUUUGUAUCUUUUUAUAUAUAAUAGAACCAAUAGAUAACACAGGUUUUUACAUAAUAGAACUAAUAUUUAUAUUUUCUUUUAAAAAAAUAUUUUAUAUUUUACAAAAUCUUUUGUUAAAAAAUUAUUAUUAUUUUUUUUAAAAUUUAGACCAAUAGAUAGCGUUUUUUUAAAUAAGCACUAUCUAUUGGUGUUUGACAAUAGAUAACGCUUCUUUAUAAGCGCUUAAAAAAAACUAUCUAUGAUAAAAAAAGUGUUAUCUAUGCACUUUUUUGUAGUAGUAGAUUUGUAAUACCGUGAAGAUUCAUGAUGUGCCAGAUGAGGUUAUCAGACUUAGCUUGUUUCCUUUCUCUUUGGAUGGUAAUGCCAAGAUGUGGCUAAAUUCAUUUCCUGAAAAUAACUUCAUUGUGUGGGAAGAUGUGGUGGCCAAGUUUCUUAAUAAGUACUUUCCUCACUCCAAGAUAAAAAAAAGGAAGUAGAAAAUCUCUUCUUUCUAACAGGGUAUGGAUGAAACUUUAGGCCAAGCAUGAGAUAGAUUCAAAGGCCUACUGCGAAAAACUCACUCAUGGAUUUGAUGAACCUACGGUGAUCAUUAGUUUCUUGGAGGACCCAAAUCUCAUACUAAAUUGAUGUUGGAUGCCUCAGUUAGAGAACAUGACUGCUAAUGACAAUGAGAUGCAAAAUGAAAGAGCUCAGUUCCAAUAAAAAGGAGUUCUUCAACUACAAUCUCAAGAUGCUGUAUUAGUUAAAAAUAAGAUAAUGACUCAACAACUUGAGGCCUUAAUGAAGAAACUCUCUCAAUUGCCUAAAGAGCUCCAAAAUGUGUCACAUGCCCAACAUAAAGAGUGUGAGUUGUGUGGUGGAGAACAUAUAAAUCGUUAGUGUGCCAUGCAAGCCAACUCCUAAGAAGAAGUGAACUAUAUGGGUAAUCAGGGCCGCCAAGGUAACUACAACCAAGGGUGGAGACCUCAUCCAAGCAUGGGCCAAGGGCAAGCUGGGCCAUCAAACAGACCACCACAACAACAAUAUCAACCACAUCCCUCUUUAUCUAACAAGACCUCGAAGUUGGAGGAAACACUCCAACAGUUCAUGCAAGUGUCCAUCUCCAAUCACAAAAGCAUUGAAGCUUCCUCUAGGAAUUUGGAGACACAGGUUGGGCAAUUGGGUAAGAAGUUAGAGGAGAAAUCUGACAAGAAUUUUGUGGCCAACACCGAAGUUAACCCUAAGGAGGAAUGUAAUGCCAUUAUGAUUAGAAGUGGCAAGAUGGUUGUGGAGAGAGGUGGAGAGAAAAGAUAAGAGAUUUGAUGAGGAGGAACAAACUCAUGGAGAAAAGGUUGAGGUUGAGAAGAUGAGAGGGAAAGAAGAGAGAAAAGGGAGUGAAAAUGAUGAGGGAGAAGACAGGAAAAAAAAAACAAAAAGGGAAGAGAAAGAUUGAAGCUCAUGAGAAGCCCCUUCUUUACCCUAAAGUCCACUCAAGGAAGGAGAAAGAGAAGCAAUUUGGAUGCUUCAUGGAUAUUUCGUACAAAAGAGGAAGAUGAAAAAAACACCACACAAAAUGUCUCCUUGAUUCACAAAUAGGACAUCCUGCCUCAGUUUUUUUGUUAUAAGGACUUUUUUGACGUUAUCUUUAGCAUUGAUAUGUUAUGCAUAUCAGUAUUAUAACUUAGGUUGGUGUGUAAGUAAAUUUUUACUUUUAUGAAGUUUGAAAAUAUUUAAUAAGUUAUUUUAACAUUAUUCAUUUUCAAUGUUUAAGAUAUUUACAUCAUAUAUUCUUUGAGAGGAAGAAUGAUCAUAUAUAUGGAUUUAUUGAUCCUGUUGUCAUCCAAGGAGUUGGGAAUAAAGGUGAAGAGAUGUAAAAGUACCCAUUAAAGGCCUUUGAAAAGGGAAAAUAAUAAGUCUACAUAACACCUUAUUUGCAAUUGUAAGUAGGAAUUUUUAUAAAUUAAAUUAUAUUUAUGUAAAGCUUAAUUGUAUCUAAUAUUGUUUGAAUUUGCAGGAGUCAAUGACAGUUGCUAAUUCUUCCUCGAGAGUCUCUUAUUGUUCUUUUAUGUUCAUUAUAUAAGAAAUCUAAUAAUUUGACAAUUAAAUGUAUACUAAUGGCGUAAUUUUUUAAUAAUUUAUUUGUCGUGUUAUAUAAUUUAAUUUUAUUAAGUUCCAUAUUAGACACAAAAUUAAAUUUUAUAGAGUGGUUAGGUCUUAUUUGAGGUAGUAGGGAACACAUAUCACUUUUAGAAAGAAGUUAUAGUUCAUUAAGCCAAUAAUAAUUAGUUAAUAUUUUAAACUAUUGAAAUAUAAUUAUAAAGUUUAUGAUAUUUUAUGAAUUUAAUUUGAUGUGCUUGCGUUAUCGUGAGUUCUAAGUGUGAAUAUUAUGUUAUGAGACAUAUGUAGAAAAUCAUAUUCACAAACUAUGUUGACUCAUGAGAUUUAGUAACAUGUACAAUUUAUAACUAGCAUUUGAAGUAUUUAUCAUUAUAAGUUGACUCAAAGUGUUUAAGUGAAUAUAUUUUCAGGGACAUGUUUCCAUUGAAGUAAUAGGUCCUAAAAGAAGUUCGGAAGUGAGUUCCUUUUCAAAUAAAACUGAUUUUCAUUUGUAUUGAUUGAAAAUAGCAUAUAUUAUUAAACAACGAUAAAAUUAUAGAAAUACAAAUACUAAAUAUUUUUAAGGCCCAAAGAAAAAACUUGCCAAACCUUUAACAGUAGACUCCAACAAUAUAUUUGAUUUUUACAUUCAACAAUGAUAAUUUCAAAUAAGAGAUUGUGUGGUGAUGAAAUCUUUGACCUGUGAGACCAAUCGAGAUGACUCUGGCAAUUCAGGAAAAAUAUAAAAUGCAUGAAACAUGGUUGGAUACUCAAUCAAUUGAACCUUUUUCCCUGAUUUUUUCAACCACUCACAGUACCUUCUUUGCCAAUCUUGUAACGGGUCAAAUCCACCCACAAUCACAAGGGUAUUCGGGUAAUCCAGACCCGACAAAUCCUCCGAAUUCGCUCCGCUCACAUUUACCGCCCAGUGGUCGCGAUCUGAUCCCUCCGGCAAAAACGCCUU